rnacentral:rRNA from 1 species
UAUCAAGAGACUAAGGGUACACGGCGGAUGCCUUGGCAUUGGCUGCCGACGAAGGACGUGGCAAGCUGCGAUAAGCUUCGGGG